AACGCGAAGAACCUUACCUACUCUUGACAUCCUGCGAAUCCGAGUGAGAGCUUGGAGUGCCGAAAGGAACGCAGAGACAGGUGCUGCAUGGCUGUCGUCAGCUCGUGUUGUGAGAUGUUGGGUUAAGUCCCGUAACGAGCGCAACCCUUGCCCUUAGUUGCUAACGAGUAAAGUUGAGCACUCUAAGGGGACUGCUGGUGAUGAACCGGAGGAAGGCGGGGACGACGUCAAGUCAUCAUGGCCUUUAUGAGUAGGGCUACACACGUGCUACAAUGGGGCGCACAGAGGGAAGCCAACCCGCGAGGGGGAGCCAAUCCCGCAAAGCGUCUCGUAGUCCAGAUUGGAGUCUGCAACUCGACUCCAUGAAGUUGGAAUCGCUAGUAAUCGCGAAUCAGCAUUGUCGCGGUGAAUACGUUCCCGGGCCUUGUACACACCGAGUAUA
rnacentral:rRNA from 1 species